UGGGAAAUUUUGGACAAUGGGGGAAACCCUGAUCCAGCCAUCCCGCGUGUGCGAUGAAGGCCUUCGGGUUGUAAAGCACUUUUGGCAGGAAAGAAACGUCAUGGGUUAAUACCCCGUGAAACUGACGGUACCUGCAGAAUAAGCACCGGCUAACUACGUGCCAGCAGCCGCGGUAAUACGUAGGGUGCAAGCGUUAAUCGGAAUUACUGGGCGUAAAGCGUGCGCAGGCGGUUCGGAAAGAAAGAUGUGAAAUCCCAGAGCUCAACUUUGGAACUGCAUUUUUAACUACCGGGCUAGAGUGUGUCAGAGGGAGGUGGAAUUCCGCGUGUAGCAGUGAAAUGCGUAGAUAUGCGGAGGAACACCGAUGGCGAAGGCAGCCUCCUGGGAUAACACUGACGCUCAUGCACGAAAGCGUGGGGAGCAAACAGG
rnacentral:rRNA from 1 species